rnacentral:tRNA from 1 species
GGUUUUGUGGUGUAGUUGUUAACACGUCAGUCUAACAUAUGAAGGUCUCCGGUUCAAGUUCGGGCGAAGCCA